GGACUACACGGGUAUCUAAUCCCGUUUGCUCCCCUGGCUUUCGCGCCUCAGCGUCAGAAAAGGUCCAGCACGUCGCUUUCGCCACCGGCGUUCCUUCCGAUAUCUACGCAUUUCACCGCUCCACCGGAAGUUCCACAUGCCCCUACCUCCCUCGAGACAGUCAGUAUCAAAAGCUGUUUUCCGGUUGAGCCGAAAGAUUUCACCCCUGACUUGACUGCCCGCCUACGCGCCCUUUAAGCCCAGUGAAUCCGAACAACGUUUGCACGGUUCGUCUUACCGCGGCUGCUGGCAC
rnacentral:rRNA from 1 species